AAUAGAUACCCAGGUAGUCCACGCUGUAAACGAUGAGCACUAGGUGUGGGGAGUGUUAAAACUGUCCGUGCCGAAGCCAACGCGUUAAGUGCUCCGCCUGGGGAGUACGGCCGCAAGGCUAAAACUCAAAGGAAUUGACGGGGGCCCGCACAAGCAGCGGAGCGUGUGGUUUAAUUCGAUGCGACGCGAAGAACCUUACCUGGGUUUGACAUGCACGUAGUAGUGAAGCGAAAGCGGAACGACCCUUCGGGGAGCGUGCACAGGUGUUGCGUGGCUGUCGUCAGCUCGUGUCGUGAGAUGUUGGGUUAAGUCCCGCAACGAGCGCAACCCUUGUCGCUAGUUACACGUGUCUAGCGAGACUGCCGGUAUCAAGCUGGAGGAAGGUGGGGAUGACGUCAAGUCAGCAUGACCUUUAUGUCCAGGGCGACACACACGCUACAAUGGGCGGUACAAGUGGGGAGCGAAGGGGCGACCGUGGAGCGAAUCCUAUCAAAGCCGUUCGUAGUUCGGUAUUGCAGGCUGCAACCCG
rnacentral:rRNA from 1 species